GGGAGCACGGAGCAGGAUCUUGGUGGUCGUCCAAACCCAGGCGCAGGCCGGGGGCUGGCCGGGGGAAACACUCUCUCAGGUGUGGCGCCCGGGGUGACCUUGGGCUGGGACAGGCAGGGUGUGGAGCCUGGGAACAAGAACCGAGCCAGUUCCACCCAAAUCCCACUGGCAAAUACUCACUGGAUGCAAGUUUUCCGUCACCGCCUGGUGGUUUAUAGAGGAUCACUCUCCUCAAACCUUCCAAUAUUGUGCGAUCUUCUUACACCCCCCCCAUUAUAUAUGAAUCAUAUAUAUAAUCAUUAUAUAGAAAUCACAGGGGGGGGCGUUCUUCUUUGCCUUCCGCUUUUGGAGAUUUUUUUGGGGGGGGGUCUAUUUUUCAAGCUUUUAUGAUUAUUAAGGACCUUACUAUGUAGUGCCAUAACCCCCUUCAGGCUAGGGACUAUACAGACACAGAACAAAAUCGCAGCCUCCUGCCACGAGUAACAGGCUGAAAGAGGGGUGAGAUGAAUGUGAGAUGUACCCGAGGUGCAGAGCAGGGACGAACCAGGUGACGCCAAAAGCAGCCAGCCCCAAGCCCAAAUCUGGUUCAGAAAGAGGGUGACGUGUGGAUGCACCUGAGAUCCAGCUGGCGGCGAGUGGCCUCUGCCUUCCCCAAACCGCGUCGCGGGACUGGGGCCGAGGGAGAAGCUUUUUAUAAGCUGGAGGAGCGCCACAGAGAGCAAUUGCUGAGACAACAAGAACUGGAGACAAGCGAGAAUUAGCCGAGUGGAUGAUCUCAUCACCUGAGCCUUCCCGGCCCUACUGGAGGCAUCAGACACCCUCCCCAGAGGGAGGAACUCUCCUUUGCUUCCUUCCAUGUUAUUUCAGAAACAAUCUGAAUUCUUGGGACCCGAGUCCCAUUUACACCACGGGCGUGUCAUCCUGGCGGUGGGUGGAUUUUUCUCUGUGCCCAAGGAGAACGGCUCGAACAUCAGCUGAACUGUCUAGAAUUCCCAUGCCUCUGGGCACUACUUUAUCAUUAUGUGUUGCCCUGAUAACCCCCAGUCACAGGCCUGGGCGCUGUGGUGCUAGGCGCUGUAUAAAACAGAACAAACCCAUGAUCCUUUGGCCAGAGAGCUUCCAAUCUGAGUAUAAGAUGAAAGUACAAGGGCUGCUGUUUGUUCUCCCCCAGGGGGCCAUGGGCCAUGCAAAAAGCCAAUGCCAGCACCGGCGUUGUUCACAUUCAGAAGCCCUGCUGCUUCAAGGAUGACUUUUCUAAGGGGCUCUGCUAAUGAGAUACAGUCAGGGCAGGCAAGGAAGCUGUAUUUUAUAGUGUGGUGGCAGCCAGCUCAGGGCCCCUUCGUGCUGGGAGCUGCGCAGACUCAAACCCAAACGAGUUUGCAGCCUCUUGGUCCCCUUUCCCAGGUGGGAAUACUGAGGCCGAGGGAAGUGACUUGCCAGAGGGGCACAGAGGAAAUCAGCAACAGUGCUAGAAACAGGAGGGGGAUCUCCAGAGGCACCAGGCCAGGAUCUCUCCCACAUGCCCACCCCUCCACCUCGUUACAUUGGCUUGGAUGGAAAAACUUGAUAACUCUGCCCUGUAGAAAAGCAAACCAGGAGGGACUUUUUCCUCGAGAGAUGGAGGGUGUGGGUCUGGGUUGGGGGGUGGGGUAGUCCCCUGUCUUACUCCAAAUCCAAGAGAGCGAUUUUUUCUUUCUCUCAAGAUAUGCUCCCCUCCCCCAUCCCCUCACUUUGUAAUCUUGACACUGUCCCUUUAAGAAUCCCCCAACCCGUUCUCCCACAGGCAGGCCCCCAGCUCCUUGGCUUCCAGCCUGCCCUAGGACUAUUCUGUUCCCAGCCACUAGGAGGCGCUAUUGCUUCACUAGAGAUCACAACAGCUCCCCCUCCCCCUCUUUCCCCACCUGGUCUGGAGGAAAAACUCCUCUCAGGGUCUGUCUACAUUGCACAGGGCCCUGGCUCCGGUUUGACCUGAAGCCCUGUUUCGGUCCACACACAAGUCAGGAUGAGUCUGGUCAGCGAGCACACAGGGGACCCUGCUAGCAGGGGAGGGUGAGAGCCGGAGUCCCCUGGCAGCCCUGUCCUUUUGCAGAGCAGAGUUGCAGUGCGGACGGACACUCGCCCACAGGGUUGGAGACACGGAGCCGACAGGCCCGGCGCCGUCAGUGCUGGGUUCGAGGUGCCGUGUAGCUGCUCCCUGUGGGCAUGUCUACACAGCAGCGUUCUUUCGGAAUAACCGAUGUUAUUCUGAAGGGCGCGUCUACACAGCAAGCCGCUUCUUUCAAAAUAAAUUCGAAAGAACGGGUGUCUUACUCCGACUCCUAUAAACCUCAGUGUGCGAGGCAGAAGGGGAGUCAGAGGUGGGAUGGGGAAGAGGGCUCUAUUUCGAAAUGAGUGCUGUGUAGAUGU